GAUGAACGCUGGCGGCGUGCCUAAUACAUGCAAGUCGAGCGAACAGACGAGGAGCUUGCUCCUCUGACGUUAGCGGCGGAAGGGUGAGUAACACGUGGAUAACCUACCUAUAAGACUGGGAUAACUUCGGGAAACCGGAGCUAAUACCGGAUAAUAUAUUGAACCGCAUGGUUCAAUAGUGAAAGACGGUUUUGCUGUCACUUAUAGAUGGAUCCGCGCCGCAUUAGCUAGUUGGUAAGGUAACGGCUUACCAAGGCAACGAUGCGAAGCCGACCUGAGAGGGUGAGCGGCCACACUGGAACUGAGACACGGUCCAGACUCCUACGGGAGGCAGCAGUAGGGAAUCUUCCGCAAUGGGCGAAAGCCUGACGGAGCAACGCCGCGUGAGUGAUGAAGGUCUUCGGAUCGUAAAACUCUGUUAUUAGGGAAGAACAAAUGUGUAAGUAACUAUGCACGUCUUGACGGUACCUAAUCAGAAAGCCACGGCUAACUACGUG
rnacentral:rRNA from 1 species